rnacentral:rRNA from 1 species
UACGAAGGGGGCUAGCGUUGCUCGGAAUCACUGGGCGUAAAGCGCACGUAGGCGGCUUUCUAAGUCAGGGGUGAAAUCCUGGAGCUCAACUCCAGAACUGCCUUUGAUACUGGAGAGCUUGAGUCCGGGAGAGGUGAGUGGAACUCCGAGUGUAGAGGUGAAAUUCGUAGAUAUUCGGAAGAACACCAGUGGCGAAGGCGGCUCACUGGCCCGGGUAACUGACGCUGAUGUGCGAAAGCGUGGGGAGCAAACAGG